rnacentral:rRNA from 1 species
GACGUAGGGCGCGAGCGUUGUCCGGAUUUACUGGCGUAAAGGGCAUGCAGGCGGUCGGACGCGUUUCGGGUGACAGCGGGUGGCUUAACUACCCGAGUGGUCGAAAGACGGUUUGACUUGAGGACGCGAGAGGGACACGGAAUUCCGGGUGGAGUGGUGAAAUGCGUAGAGAUCCGGAGGAACACCGAAGGCGAAGGCAGUGUCCUGGCGCGUAACUGACGCUGAGGUGCGAAAGCCAGGGAGCGAACGGG